rnacentral:pre_miRNA from 1 species
UUCUUGUCUUAGAUUUUUCUAGAUACGGAUGUAUCUAAUACUAAAAUGUGACUUGAUACAUCCGUAUCUAGACAAAUCUAAGACAAGAAUUUUGGGACGGAGGGAGUACUUU